rnacentral:rRNA from 1 species
UGAAUGGCAUCACGAGGGCUUAACUGUCUCCCCUCCCCAGUCAAUGAAAUUGAUCUCCCCGUGCAGAAGCGGGGAUAAUACCAUAAGACGAGAAGACCCUAUGGAGCUUUAGACGUCAGAGCAGCCCAUGUAAAGCACCCCUUAACAAAGGAAAAAACCAAAUGAAGCCUGCCCUAAUGUCUUUGGUUGGGGCGACCGCGGGGAAAUACAAAACCCCCAUGUGGAGUAGGAAUACACAUUCCUAAACCCAAGAGCUCCCGCUCUAAUGAACAGAAAUUCUGACCAAUAAGAUCCGGCACACGCCGAUCAACGGACCGAGUUACCCUAGGGAUAACAGCGCAAUCCCCUUAAAGAGCCCUUAUCGACAAGGGGGUUUACGACCUC